UGGGGAAUUUUGGACAAUGGGCGAAAGCCUGAUCCAGCAAUGCCGCGUGAGUGAAGAAGGCCUUCGGGUUGUAAAGCUCUUUUGUCAGGGAAGAAACGGUGAGAGCUAAUAUCUCUUGCUAAUGACGGUACCUGAAGAAUAAGCACCGGCUAACUACGUGCCAGCAGCCGCGGUAAUACGUAGGGUGCAAGCGUUAAUCGGAAUUACUGGGCGUAAAGCGUGCGCAGGCGGUUUUGUAAGUCUGAUGUGAAAUCCCCGGGCUCAACCUGGGAAUUGCAUUGGAGACUGCAAGGCUAGAAUCUGGCAGAGGGGGGUAGAAUUCCACGUGUAGCAGUGAAAUGCGUAGAUAUGUGGAGGAACACCGAUGGCGAAGGCAGCCCCCUGGGUCAAGAUUGACGCUCAUGCACGAAAGCGUGGGGAGCAAACAGGAUUAGAUACCCCCGUAGUCCCGUGAGCGGGCUGGCAAGGCGCAU
rnacentral:rRNA from 1 species